UUCAUGACUGAUUACACUGCAUUUGACUGUCUUUACUGUAUAAUCAAUCUAUAAAAGUACUGGUCGAAGGAGCGAUUGGGAACAGGUGAUGGGGAAGGUGAUUUGACCCGUUUAAUGAAGAGCGAAACAGAAAGAGGAGCAGCACUGUGGAGAAAAUGCCGUUGUUCCCCUGCAAAUCCAGAUCAACGGAAUGCUCUUGCAUUCAACGGCUACGAUCGGGGUGUGCAGCUACUCAAACUCAAACUGUCCCAUUUGGAUCUUUCCUUUGACAUCAUACACAAUGGGGUUGUUCUGCAUGUCUGCACUACAUCCACUGAUGAACUAAAAUGGAGCUGUAUAAAAAGGGCUGUAAUUCCAACAUGGAUGCUUGAUAUGGAUCCACAUACUCACAAAUUAAAGCAGACAGUCUGUAUUCUGUA